CACAACCAACUAAUAGCCUGACACAUAACACACAGCUGUCUGUCUGGGUCGCUAUAGUAUUUAAUAAUAUCUGUCCUCCGAAUUCAUAUUUGUUAUAUACUAUAAAAAAUGACCCACGGGUUUAGUAAAUAUUGCAAAAGAAAAUCAAUGAUUUUGACUAAAAACGUUUCAACAGACGUCGUCUUGAUCUUUCUCCUCUGGAAAGGCCAUGUGGCAGGUAUAGGUGUUCAGACGUUCCUGAGUACUGGACAGACCAUAUUUUCCAGAAUACAUUGACAAUGAAAACGCCAAGGAGUGUGGAGAUGCAUCGCAGCUCUACCUGUCUGUCUCUCUCUUCUUCACCUGUCUCACUGCCUCCUUCACCUGUCUCAAGACCUCCACGCUGGUCUUCCGAUGACAGACAGACAGCUACCUAGCCUAAACCCCGCCCACCCCUCUGAAUUGGUAUCUCCCUGGAAUGUUCCAGAAUCCCUGAACUUAGCAUGCCUGCUGCUGUUUGCGUCAUCUUUAUCAAUCAAUAUGACUAUGAUUUAAGUUAUGAUAUUGAUCAUUUUGGCUGUUGGACUGAGAGGAAUAAGCUGUUGACUGACUCCAUGUUUGAUGUCUUUACAAUCACAGAGAGAUGUUGACCAUGUUUGAUGUCUUUACAAUCACAGAGAGCUGUUGACUGACUCCAUGUUUGAUGUCUUUACAAUCACAGAGAGCUGUUGACUGACUCCAUGUUUGAUGUCUUUACAAUCACAGAGAGCUGUUGACUGACUCCAUGUUU